GAAUAAUUUCUGCAUGAGCUAAAAUAUAAAAAUAAAGGAUUAUGGAACCUGUUGUCAAUGAGUUCUAAUUAGUUGGCUCCACUGUUUUUGACCCCUUCUGAGGUGCAGGAAGUGCUAGGAUUUGGGUAGAGUUUUUGUUUUUUUUUCCUACUCUAGGCAUUAAGUACUUAUAUUGGCACCUCAGAGCGGGGGUAAAGGAUAGAAAAGCAGGACCCAGUUUAUACAGUUUCUGAGUGGUGGCUGUGUCCUGGAAUAGCAUGGUGGUGGUGUUGGGUCAAUCCAACGGGGAGGGGAAGUGCCUGCAGUUGGUUUCCUGGCCCCAGGACACUGAGCUGCCCUUCCAGAUUCACAGUUGUCAAGAUACAGUCUCCAGAGCUGGGUUUCUAUUGCUGGUGCUCUUGGACCUGCCUAUAAAUAAGGUUCUUGUUUCAGGCUUAUCUGACCAGCUUAACACCUCUCCAUAUAAGUCUUCCUGACUUUCUUCUGUCAGACCGCCCAUUCCCAGUGGGCCUG
rnacentral:lncRNA from 1 species